CUAUACAACUUGCUGCCUUUC
rnacentral:miRNA from 17 species